AAAAUGCCGUUUGCCUCUUGGUGUUACAAGAACCUGAGAUAUGUGUCGAAGUUUAUCGUAAACAUGAAUAUUCGUACGACAAAACCAAAAAAACCCUGGUCACUGAGGUUACUUUGUUUUGGUCAAUCGACAACGGGCCAAAAAAGGUCAAACCUUUGGAUCUUGCGGAGCUUUCGGAUUGUUUCAGGAUCUCUAUUUGUGUGGAUAAACUGGACAAAUCCUUAGGUGAUAGAAUAAAAGAGCGGAAUACAAUGAAACGAGCAGUCUGUCCUCAACCAAAUACUUCGACCACCAAUCUUUCUCCUUAUCCUACCCACUCACAACCCGUUUUAGAAUCGAAGAGCGAGACCUUGUCAAGUCCUUCUCAAGGCAUUCACUUACCAACUUGUUUCAUUUGUAGACAAGUAAUGAAAGGCGAUAAGAUCGAAGCCCUGGGUAAGUCCUUUCAUCCAGGGUGCUUUAAUUGCUCUCAAUGUGACUGCAAUUUGGCAGGAGAUGAUGAUCGUUUCAAAGCAGAUGAGUCUAAAAACAUUCAUUGUUUUUCAUGUUAUAACAGAAAGUUCGGAAAUAUUUGCUAUGGUUUCAAAGAUGUCAUAAAAGUGUUGGGUGGUCUUCCGGGUAAAAUGUUGAAGGCGGGAGGUAGAACCUACCAUCCAGAUUGUUAUCGUUGUGAAAGUUGUUUGACAAAGUUUGGUAAUGGUGGAAUGAAAUGCUAUCCCAAAAAUGGUCAAUUCCUUUGCUCAAAUUGCUCUUAACGAUAGCUCAAAGUCAGUCAUAUAUGUGUGGAUGUGCUACAAUUGCUGUGUGUGUAGGAAAGGAGCGAUCUGCUUUUUAGAGGACAGAUAAAAUACGUACAUUCCUACAAACUUAAUUUAUUUAUGAGAAUUGGU